rnacentral:misc_RNA from 1 species
GGAAGUAAAAGUCGUAGCAAGGUCUCCGUAGGUGAACCUGCGGAGGGAUCAUUAACGAAUGGUCAUCCUUGAUCUUCUACCCUCAAACACCGUGGACGUCAGACGUGCUUCGGCGCCGAGAGGCGCCGCCUUUAUGCUCAAAGGCCUAUGUAGUCUGUAUUAAGAAAUGUCAAAACUUUCAACAAAGGAUCUCUUGGCUCUC